rnacentral:lncRNA from 1 species
UCACAUCCCACUCAGCCAUCUGCAGAGGAGCAACACCUGCUCACCCUGUCAUAUAGAUGAAUUACAGGUAGGUAAAGCCUGAGCAUCAGACUGCCAGCACACGCCCACAUACAGUCACACACCAACACACAAUUAUACAAUCAGAGGCAGCCCAGGCCAUCUGACUGCUUCAACUGCGCAUGAUACACAUUGGAUUAGCUCUCAGACAUGCAUGAAACACACUUACCCACAGUUUACUGAGUGUGUCAGUGGAUGAGGAACUGUAUGCUGUACGCACAUGGUUGCACAUUCACAGGCUAAGUCAGGUUAAUUCCAAACACUUACAGACACAUUCAAAAACAUGUUUUUUUUCUCAGUUCUCAAAACCAGAAUUAUUUUUGACUAACUCUGUCCACAUAACAACAUACAGAUGGUUCAAAAUGAUUACACAGGCUUGACAGAGGAACUGUGUCCAUGAUUAUUGAAUGUCUUCUUGAGCAAGUGGUCAUCAUAAUCAGCUUUCUUUUUGUUGGAUGCAGAGUGGAAAAUUAAAACUACUAAGCGUGAAAUGUUAAUCCCCCCUUGCACUGAAGUAUAUAAAUUAAGUAAAGCUCAGUUUUCUUGCAAACAUCAAAGACAUCUACAGCAUUAGGGUUUCCUAAAACUUUGCACUGUACACAAGACUUUGCCUAAAAUUCAAAUUAGCUUUAGGCAAAAGGCCAGAACCAAGCAGCAACUUUAGGUCUUGAGAAAUGAAGCCAACAAGGAAUAAAAGUUCAGUUCUCUGAGUGACCACUUGAGGCUGGCUGCAAAAGGUGACAGUUGCCAACAGGCUUCAAAAAUCAGCCUCACAAACAAAUGACUGGAGUCACCAACACUACACUCCUGUAUUAUAAAGUCAACGGUAAAAAUACUAAGAACAGAAAUGACUCCUCAGAUAUUGGCCUUAGUGCCUGCUCUUAGUGUCUUUAGUUUGUUUUUUACUGUUUAAACGAGGUGGGUUUUUAUAUCAAAGUCAGUCUGAGAAUUAUAACUGCUCACGUUUUACACAAAAUGAAGGUCUUAUUUAGUAACUCCAGCCAAUACAGACAUUUCAUUGUUCUAAGACACGAAGGAUCUUUUGUGCCAGUGAUGUUAGCAUUGAUUUAAAUGGUUCCUUAUGUCUUUAUUUAGAGUUAAUUUCACCUCUGUCUCUGUGUAAAUCAGCCUUACAGAAAAGAAAAAAUAAAACAUUCAGGGGUAUUUUACUUACUGGUGAGUCUUGAUGAACAUCAUUAGACUAAACUUUUAGUGAUUAGGAAAUAGAGACAGAGCUGCAGAUACCCAGUACAACAUUUUCAGUCAGUGCAAACUGGAAAGAUAUCAUUUUUCAAUUGAAGAAAAACAUAUGAGGUGUAGGAGUCAAAGAGGUGGAAACAGAGAGAACUAUGAAUGCUGAACCUAAACCCGACUGGUGAAUGUGUCACUGUCAAAACCUCUACACCUCAUUCCCUCCAUGUUUGCUUUACCCAGAAGCCUGAACCAGACUACUUUCCUUCUGUCUGUCUAAGUUCAUGGCGCCAUGUUUGCCCCCAUCCAGUGAGAGGAAAGACUAAAAAAACAAAACAAAACAAAAAACCUGUCAAAUGUACUUACUCCUCUCGUCUGUACUGAUGGACAAAGACAAAAAGAGUCCGAGCAUAGAGGACAGAUGGCAAAUAUGAGGUACAGAGCUAAGACCUGAGGGCAUUUAGGUAAAAAAAAUCAUGAAACCCCAUCCAGUGGAGCACCUCUCCCUUUUUCAUCUUCAUGUCUGUCUCAUUUGCAGCUUUUUAUUCAUUUACCUCUCCUGGUUCACAGCUUUCCUGCUCUGACACUAUGAUGUUCAUGCAACUGUAGGAUGUGGUGAUUUGUCAGCAAAGAGUUAUGGUUUUGCUAUUCUCAGUUCCUGGUUGGUACGAUUGGAGUGGACUGUCCAAUAUGUCUCUGUCACACCAAAGCACCGUCCAUAAAGCUUUUCUGUUCCUCUUGAGCAUUUUUCUUUUUCAGGCUGAGGGACAUUGUGUUUCUUUCUCCGUCUUUCCCUCUCAUUUUUGCUUGUUUUAUGAUGCAGCUUUAGUCAUCCAUCCAAAACUUCAGCUUGCAUGAUGUUUUACAUCCUCAAAUGGGCAAGGGGAAAAUUUCUCCAUAUUAAAAACCGCUUUGAAAGCCGUUCAUGUCUGUCGUAAAGGGUGUAAAUGUGUUGCAGUGAUUUCUCCCUCUGCUCACUGCAGCAGUCAUUUCUCCUUUUUUAUAUUUACAGGGCGGCUCAUUCUAGAUGUAUAUCUGCUCUGUUCAUUUAGUUGGCAGGUGUGUGUUGUGAUCCGAACUGCCAGCAGUCUGCUGUUUGCGUGAUUGAGAUCUUUACUGAGAGAUUUUUUUCCAUUUCCACAUAACACAAUCUGAUCAAAGGGACAUUGUGUUUAACCCUUGGUUCCUAUACCUUAUUCGUUUUACGGUCAAUGAAGUAAGCUGUGUUUAACAUAGGCCCCCUUAAACCUCUAUUUUAAACAACAACAAAAAAAAAUAUGUUAUUUCAUGCAACAGUUAACUCUUUCUAAACUCAAUGGGAUAGUGGAACAAAUCUGCAGCGGUGCCCAGAUGGCAACAGAUAUACUGGAUCCUCCAACACAAGUCACAACUCCUUCUCAGACCAGAGUACUGCCAAGAUCUCAGCUGAAGUGACCCGCCUUCACCUGCUAUGGGAGGGAUGGCUGUUGCAGGCUUGAAGUCAGAAAUUCUUCUUACUGUAAAAGCAGACAUUUCAACAGUGACACGGCCAAACUGAGGAAGGGCCUUGCCAAUGAUUUCCAAAUUCUCAAAAAUGAACUGAAGGCGGUGAAAACGGCGGUAAUAACACCACAGCGCCAAAGCCUGAGAUUGACUAGGUGAAAGAGGCUAACUGAAGUGCUACAAUUGGACAAAGAGCGGCUGAUUGAUCGCUCAAAGGCUAAGGGCGUUGCUGUUAUGAUCAGAAAAAUCAUACAGUUCACAGUAUCUUAUGUGCAAACUGACUCUGCAGGGCGAUAUACCAUCGUAAUAGUAAGAUUAUACACACUCCCAGUUAUUUUAGCCUGUAUUUAUGCCCUAAUGUGGGAUGACCCUACACUCUUCACCAAUGAUUAUUGUCUUACUAACCAGAUAUGCCAACACAUGAUCUUACACUUGGUGGUGACAUUAACAGUGCACUUUCUCCUCAUUUGGAUAGGAGUAUUUCUUGAGGGGCAUCCCUAUUGAAGUCAGCACACUAUUCAGCUCCUCCUGAAGACUGAUGGUGUAGUGGCUGUGUGGCGGUUUUGUAACCCCACCUCCAGGGCUUACUGUUACUUUUCCCUACUUCAUAAAGACAUAUGUCUUAUGCACGACAAGUCUACCAGUUUUUCACACAGUGGGGGGCAGGCCACAGCAGAGCCAACGCCACUCAACUCUAAAAUUGCCUCGAUCCUUGGAACAGCCAGUGUGUCCGGUGUGGUUUCACAGGCAGAACUCACAGGGUCCUGAACGGCUCCGCUCCGCUCCACCAUGGCCAGCGUAUCAAAUCCGCAAGCAUUAUAAUCAAUGUGAGUCAUUCCACAGAAUCCGUCUGGCAUUCAGUUCCCCUGCGGACUGGCUCUGGCGGCUGGAUCAGAUAUGCAGGGCUUCUAUUUUUGGCGUAUCAAUUCAGUGCAGCACUGCACAAGCAGCAGUGGAAGUUUUAUGCGGUUACAGAGUAAAAUAUCCGGUUAAUUUUCAAAAUAAAAUAAAGUCAAUACAUUGAACUGUUCUUAACUUGAUAAAGGGAGAGGCCAAAAUUGUGGGAUGUGGGUGAUUAUAAACACUGUUGUUUAUAUACAUCACCAUUUAUAUACACCAAUCAGCGGAUCUUAUUCUAUGACUCCCAGGGAAACAUGGGAAAGCUCAUGAGAUCUCGUCCAGUCCCAUGAGAAAUGUUGGUAAUCUCGUGAGCACUUCUCCUUUGAUGGCGGUGGUGGAUCGGAUCCGAUGGGCGCUGUAUGCUUGCGGAGCCGAUCCCCCUGCUGGUCCAGAGCGGAGCCGUUCUGGAUCCUGUGAGUUUAGCCAGUCAGUGAGGGAGCGGUGGGUGAGGCGUAGGUGGAGGAGGUUCCCAGUAUGUCUGGCACACUGACUGCAGGCCCACCUGCCCCUAGCGGUGGGUCCUCACCAAUAGAGUCCUUCAGACACAGAGGGACACCAUGAAGGCAAUUAGAUCAGUCAGAGACGAACUGACACAAAUACGCAUGGUCAUGCAAAACAUUAGAUACCAAAAAGAUCACAGUGUUGGUUCUACUGGAUGUAAGCGCCGCUUCUCACACAGUAGACCAUCUCAUUUAGUAAAUAGACUUUGGCACCUUGUAGACCUCUCUGGUACUGUUUUUAAAUGGUUUUGUUCUUAUCUCACCGAUCAAUAUAUAUACUGUAUAUAUGUAAAUGUAUUAGAUGGAAAUGGAAAUAGAAUACAAUGAUUUUCAAAUCCUUUUCAACCUAUAUUCAAUCGAAUAUACUCCAAAGACAAGAUAUUGAAUUUUCAAGCUCAUAAAUCUCUUUUUUUUUUUUUUUUUUUUGCAAAUAAUAAUUAAUAUCAUGGCUGCAACAAGUGCCAAAGUAGUUGGGUCAGGGGCAUGUUUACCACUGAGUUACAUCACCUUUCUUUUUAGCAACACUCAAUAAACGUUUAAGAACUGAGGAGACUAAUUGUUGAAGCUUUGAAGGUGGAAUUCUUUCCCAUUCUUGCUUGAUGUACAGCUUCAGUUGUUCAACAGUCCGGGGUUUCUGUCGUCGUAUUUUAUGCUUUAUAAUGCGCCACACAUUUUCAAUGGCAGACAGGUCUGGACUGCAGGCAGACUAGUCGAGUACCCGCACUCUUUUACUAAAAACCCACACUGUUGUAACAUAUGCAGAAUGUGGCUUGGCAUUGUCUCUCUGAAAUAAGCAGGGGCAUCGAUGAAGAAGACGUUGCUUGGAUGGCAGCAUAUGUUGCUCCAAAACCUGUAUGUACCUUUCAGCAUUAAUGUUGCCUUCACAGAUGUGUGAGUUACUCAUGCCUUGGGCACUAAUACACCCCCAUACCAUCACAGAUGCUGGCUUUUGAACUUUGUGUCAAUAACAGUCCGGAUGGUUCUUUUCCUCUUUGGCCUGGAGGACACGACGUCCACUAUUUCCAAAAACAAUUUGAAAUAUGGACUCGUCAGACCACAGAACACUUUUCCACUUUGCAUCAGUUAUGAACUGAUCAUAAACUGUAUAUACUAUGGACAACUUGGUUCUGCCUACCGCCUGUAUACGGAUUUGAAGCCAAAAAGCUCUCUGUAUUUCCGUGAUUUUUCUUCAUUUCCUGAAACCAGCGCUGCGCAGUAGCACAUUCGGCAGGAGAGUCGCCGAGAGUCGCUGUGAUGACGCUCGGCUCAAACAGCGUAUCCCCUGGGUGAGCUACGCAAUUCCUGAACGCCCAUAGGCUGUAUCAGGUGUCAAUCAUAGAAAACAUGAACCCCCUAAUAACCUUUAAAAACUGAGCUUCAAAGAAAAAAAGAGGACUUGAGCACAAACCAGUCUUACAAUAAUUACAUGUGAACAUCACAAGCAGGGGGGAGAAAAAUGUAUAUUCUGUGUAAUAAAUUUCUAAAGUUUGUCCACAGUCCCAUAAGCUUUGCUGGCGGAGGCGGGAUUUAUACUGCAGCCCAUCAACAGAGGGUGCUGUUCUCAGAGUGGCUUCACCCAGCAAGGAGGCAGAUGCUGUCCAUUCUAUAUACGGUCUAUGGCAGUGAUUUCUCCAGAUUCUCUGAACCUUUUGAUGAUGUUAUGGACAGUAGAUGUUAAAAUCCCUAAAUUCCUUGCAAUUGUACUUUGAGAAACGUUGUUCUUAAACUGUUGUUCACAGAGUGGUGAACCUUGCCCCAUCCUUGCUUGUAAAUGACUGAGAAUUUGGGGGAAUUCCCAAUUAGCCUGCUCACCUGUGGGAUGUUCCAAAUAGGUGUUUGAUGAGCAUUCCUCAAAUUUCUCAGUAUUUUUUGCCACCUUUCCCAACUUCGUUGGCACGUGUUGCAGCUAUGAAAUUCUGAGUUAAUUAUUAUUUGCAAAAAAAUAGUGUAGUGUAUUCAAUUAAAUAAAGGUUGAAAAGGAUUUGCAAAUCAUUGUAUUCUGUUUUUAUUUAUGUUUCAGAAUUUCCCAACUUUAAUGGAAUUGGGUUUUGUAUAUAUACUUUUUUUUUUUUUCAUAUGACAGGCUUUAGCUGCUUGCUUAUCUUCAUCAACUUGAAGCAAGAGAAGAAGAUCUGCGAGGGUAGGGAGGUUGUCUCUUCUCUGCUCUAGCUGGAGGUCACUGAUGAGAGCACUGCCCCAGCAUUCAAAACAACUUGAAGACGAUGCAAAUAAUCUGAAGGUUCUUCACCAGAAUUCUGAAAAGUGUUCAAAUUUUGCAAAACACUCAUCUCCAUCUUCUACAGUACCGUAUGCUGAGUCUAAAGCUCAAGGUAAGCUUUGGGCAAAGCUUGGGGACCAAGUUGUUUGAAGACAUCAGGUGCAGAAGGUGACAUCAGACUAUAUACAAUCUGCCGUGAACACUCCAAAUCGGACACAGAAGGAUCAGUGAGAAACAAAUCCACAUUGGUUCUCCAGGUAUCAUAAUCAGUUUCAUAACUGACGUGUGAUUUUUCCAGAAAAGCUCUAAGGCGGGAGAAGCCAUAGACAUGGGACAUAGCAUUAUCAGUCUUGACAAUGUGCUCUAUAACAACUUUCUGGAUCUCAAGUGGGCUAACUGCAUCUCCUGGGAGAGUAAAAGGACAUUUUUCUGUGGUAGGAAGCACAAAGAAAGAAGCAAAGUCAGUGGUCAGACUUUUUUGGGGUUUGUUUGGUUGAGGUUGAAUUUGAGGGUCUGGCACUGGAAGUUUUAUUUCAGGUUUUAUUGGGAGAUGUUUUUUCCUGUUUGAGAUCAGCUUUUGACUCCAUGGAGGAAGGGGUUAUAACAGUUAGCUUUGCAAGUUCCUCUUGAAGCAAAGUCUCUAGGGGUUUUUCUGUUAACUUGGAGAUUGCCUGCAAUUCUUCAAUGCAGCUCUUGGUGGCCCUUGUGCAAGCAAGUGGACUGUAAGUACCAGCUAAUGAACAUUCUUGAAGGUGAUAUCUAGUUUAGAUAGACUAUGGAAAAGGCAGUAAAGAUGAAAGUGACUACAUUGCAGUACCAAAAUUAAACUCUACGAUUGCACUUCCAUGAUGCUCAGACUUGGGAUUAUCAAUGUGCAAAACCCUAUUAAUGAAACCAAGUACUUGGUACUUUUCUAAGUACUUCACUGAGUUUGGCACGUUUAUGGACUCUUGCAUCACAGUUUCCAUGAUUGACACGUAAUAUGUCUAUUAAUUUUCAAAACCAGCUCCUGGCUAGCUUGCCAAUUUAUGUAACACUUAUGAAAUAUAUACUAUAUUUAUAUUAUGAUAUAUUAGAUAAUGCUUUAUGAAUUUUAAAUUUAAAUUAUAAAUGAUUAUACAUAUAACACAAGGUAAGAUUUGGGCUAGUGGUUUGGCUCUGGAGCUGGGUAGAAAUUAAUAGACACAAAUGAAAAAUGUGACUUAUACCAACUGUAUUGAAAAACUCAAAAUACUUGAUAGAAUACCAGGAAAAUACAUUAAAAAUAAAGCAAAAUUUUGAAAUGCAAAUAAAAUAUAUCAAUCAAAUUUCAAUUUAAAUGCACUGAAAUAUCAAAAAGUUCCUUUUAAGUUAGACCAGUUAUCUUUUUUCAGUUAAACAAAAUUCACAUUUAAUAAAAAACAGUUCAAUUCAACUCACUGACCCCAAUUUACUGAGCAGACCUAAUAAAUAGCAUACCAUAGGGCAGUACAUUUAAAAAAUCUUGCCUCAUAAACAAGUUCAUUUUUACAAACCUGUUUGCCAAAGCAACACAGACAAACACUCUUGUGUCCUGGUCCCAGAAGCUAUGAAUUGAACCGAAUUCUGAAACGUUCAGCUGUGUAUCAGUUCAGGAGGUCAGAGUCGCAGACUUCUCCAACAAAAUGAUUCAGUGAUUUGGUGAACAAAUCUUUUUAGUGAACUGGUUCUAGUGAUUCAGUACAUCCAAAAGAACUGCCGUGCCCAUCACUAGGUCCAAGGUUAAGUAAAGAAUGUCCAGAUCCAGUUUCCUGUGGGUUCAUUUUCUUUUUUUUCCCCAAGUUGGGAAAAAUUGUGGAGGAAAGUUUGGUGAGAUCUCGUUGUUGAGAUACUGCUGCUGCUGCUCACAGACUGAGUUGGUGUGAAUGACUGAUCAGGGAGGUGGUUAAGAGCUGGUGAGCUGCUGCACAGAGGGAACGAGGAGGUUCACUGGUGAGAGGUUGUGAUUUGUGCUCUAUGGGUUUGACUGACAGGGAAGGUGUCCAAUGGGGGGUGAAGGGAUGAAAGGGAGCAGAAAUAUGUGGAUUGAGGAUGAGGAUAUGAGGAUUUUGUAACCUGGGUUACAAUUAACUGUAAAAAAUUACAUAUUUUAUUUUUGAUAAGAUCCUGCAGACAGUUUUCAUUGAACUUGGCUUCACUGCAGAGGGAUGGUGUGUGUGUGUGUGUGUGUGUGUGUGUGUGUGUGUGUGUGUGUGUGUGUGUGUGUGUGUGUGUUUGUCUGCAUGUGUGUGUGCAUGCGUGUGUGUGUGUACGUGUGUGUUGUAGAAUAAUUUAGAUAGUUGAUCAUUACCAUUUCCAAGGAGCAUUUACAGAGAAUGUCUUGAUUUUGAAUCCCUGAUCACGAUGCAUGCACACAAAGGGAACUUAAUUGGGAAAGACUAAAGUGCACUUUCUUAACAAAGUUUCCUUUUUUUUAAUUCCAUCUCUUGCUGAAAACAAAUCAGUUCAGUGUUAUCUCCUAAGGGACUCUAUCUUUUUUUGCACCCUCUGUUUGGUCCUUCCCUCUGCCUAACUGAAGCACAUUGUUUCUAUCACCUUCUACCUCUCUUUCCUGCCUCGGUCUCACACUUUUAUUCAGAGUGUACUUUUCAAAGUCAUCUUACCAUUGUAUUCAAUGGCAAUGCAGCAACACAGCUCUCUGCAUCCAGAUUUCUGGCAUUUUUGAAACAGAGGUACUGUUUUUUUUAUUUUUUAAACUUUCCACAGACGUGUCUCUCACUAUGUACGAUGUGCUAACCUUUACAGAGAAGAGACAUACUUCUUACCUGAAAAAGGAUGCCGGGAGUAGUGGCAUUCAGAAGAAACUUCUCCCUAACUUUUUUUAUUUUUUUUCUGAACAUCUUACUUUGCUGAAUAACAAACAAGUACAUACAGUUUCUUACUUCCCAAAGGCCAGCACAACAAGUGCUAAAAGACUCAAAUUUAAAACUGUUCUGGACUAAAAUAGAACAAAACAAGAAUCAUUCAACCCUGUACUUUAAACUCAGCAUGUCACUACUGCCGUGUGGUACUAAUCUUUUGUGUCCUGUUCCUACAGACAUAUGCUUUCAACCAAUCAAGAUUUUAUACAGAGAAAUGAAAUAAAAAAAAAAUAAAAAAAACUCACUUCAGCCAGCCUUGGAGUUAAAGAGAAAAAGGCGUUAGGCGUGAAAUUCUGUAUAAAGUAAAUUCAAUUGUACAAAGCACUGCAUGAGAGUACAAGCAGAGAAAAGAGAAGAGAAAAGCAAGUAGGUGGCAGAAAAAGAAAGAGCAGGCUGCAGAGAGGGAUAAUUUCGAAACAACAGGCAUAAAGACUGUGAUUUUUAUGAAGGGUCGUGUGUGUGUGUGUGUGUGUGUGUGUAUGUGUGUGUGUGUGUGUGUGAACAGUCAUGGUCAAAUGAUUAGCCCACCCGUGUUUUCCUCAAUUUCUUGUUCACUUUAAUGCCUGAUAUCACCAAAGGUUUAUCACCUGAGGAAUACAAUGAACGUAACUAAAAAUUCAGCUUAUUUCACGAUAUUUUAUGUCCUGUUUGACACACAUGAGCUUAAUUGUAUUCCCAGGCUGGUGCGGCUUUAUGCACAGGCUGGCCUAGGCUGCAGCCCAGGGGCCCCACAUGUGCAGGAGUCCCAGAUUGGCUUCACUAUUUUACAUUUUCCCUAAACAGAAACAGCAAAAAUGACCUGUAUUGGCCCAUAAAAUAAAUAAACAAUUGAUUGAAAGGAUGUGACCCAAGUGUUAAAUCUAUCCAAUCUGUUGUAUUGGUCACAUCAUGUGGCAUGUCAGUUAUUUUUAGUUGUCAUUUGACAGAGAGAAAGUAUGACAGUGGACCCUCCAAACAAAAACAGCAACAAUCAAAAGAACAACAUGAUGAAGAGCUUAAAUUAACUGGAUGUUUCAAGCCUUCAUUGAGUCAAAAAGUUGCAAUCGCGGAGGAUGAAACACCUAUAGAUGCACAGGGAUCCUUAGCUAGCUCAUCUCCUCUGUAAUAUUUAAGGGAAUUUUAUGUCACAAAACGCAUAUCAUAUAUAAUGUGGGAGUGCGCAUGUAUUUGGGUUGCUUCCUUGUCACUCAAUCAUGGGUAAGAAAGGCUGUGGGCCUGCAUAGGGUUAGGGUCUGCUUUCCUCACUGCGAUUUGCCGCUGGGAGGCUGAUAGGGAGAUCUGUCUAACACACAGUCCAAAGAAAUACUCCAUAGCUACUAUAUGUUGCUUUAUUUACAAAGAAGGUUGCCAUAGCAAAAACGUGUUGUCUCUCCUCAAUCUCUAGUCGUGGUAACAGCUGCUGUUUGCUGAGGUUGGAACACUGAGCUAUGAGCUGUUUCGGUGUUAGCAUUGACUGCGGUUGAUGACUGCGGUUGACACUGGUUGAUGUAACUUGUUUCUUACAGAUGUGUGUCAUGCAGGAGUCGAACCCCUACCUGCUUGACUAAAUACAUAUAUAUGUGUGUGUGUGUGUGUGUGUGUGUGUGUUAUUAACUUGUUCUGUCUCCACUUCAUGCGCCAUUUUCAAUUUCUACCAUAGCCAAUAGUUUUCCAUCUUUAACCUUUGUUGUCUUUCCUUUACUGCCCCCAUUUUUUCAUCCGAAUAUUCUUAUAUUCUUACUUCUUUCUAUGCAUAAUUGUGAUCAAAGUUAGUCCAAUAGGUGGCUCAGCCUUAACUCACAGACUGUGAGCUCUGCCUCUGUGACUUCAGAUUCCUUUGGCUCUUCUCCUUGGCUGUUUUGUUGUUGCUCAAUUUAGAUCAGUCUAAGUUUACCUUGAUGCCAGUGAUUUGUGGAACCACUUAAGGGCUGUUUACACUGAAACACAAACUUUAUUACUACUUUUCGUGGCUGGUUGUUUUCAUUAAACAGUAUUUGAGUGGCUGAAUGUGCAGCCAGUCAGGUAGUUUGUACUUUAAGUCCCAUUGAAAUAUGCCUUUAUGCACAGGAAAAGGUGUUCUUCAUUGUUGUUUCAAAUCAAAGUGCCAACUAGAAACAUGCUUAUACAGUAUCAAAAUUUACCAUUUUAAAUGAGACUGUUCUUGUCUGAAUAAGGCUGUUUUUUUACUGUAGGGUUACCCAUUCCCCCUGCUUUCUUAUUCUUGUACUCUUUCUGACUGUCAGCUGCUGUUUGGUCCAUCUGUCUCUCUGUUGUACAUCCUUACCCUGCAGUUCAAUGGUUCUGCUGCCCAGUUUUGAAAAAUGGUGUGUAUAAGAUGCUUUCAAGCCUCACACAUUUAUUACCAGCUGUGACCUGAACAGCCUUAGAUACUGAGGAUAACAGUAAUAGCAGUAUGAUAUUAAUAAUUCAAAAGAGGGUUGCUUCAACAUCCUGCUGACAGCACAUGGACAAGAGACGGGUAAACUAUACUGUAGGUAAGAACUAGAAUAGUACCGCAACAAAAGCAGCUCAAACCUGUGAAACUGAUACAGCCACAGCUGACAACAGACACAAAGAAGCUAAUUAUUGAUGUGGUGCAGCUCCUGAGACUAGGAUCACAGAACAAGGGCUGACAAAGUAAUGAGCCAAAGCUGAGAGAGACAGGGAGACACACUGAGGACAUCUAAUGGACAGGUAAAGAAAGACAAGUAAAAAAAAAAUAGAAUAAAUAAAUUAAGACUACUGACUGUAGCAGUCAAAAAAGCUACAAAAUUGCAAUUAACAGGAAAUUCAGAUUGAUCUAUUCCUGGUGUACUUCUCAGCCAUCUAGUUGAGAUAUUUCUGCAACUGGCAGGUAAAAAAGAUAAUCAUAACUGUAAUAACGUUUUCAAAUGACUGUAUCUGGUGAAAAGGAUAUGGACAAAGACACUGCAUAGAAAUUGUAACAUGAUUUUAAGAGUGCCAGAAAAAAAGGCAUCACUAAAAAUACCAUAUUUUACAGAGGAGUUCUUAUGUGUUGGUGUUGUAGUCUUAUUUAAAGCAGUGUUUUAGUACUGUAUGCUCUAGUGUUCAAACACUUGAGUUUGAUAUUGAGUCUGGUGAGAUCCAGAUUUUUAUACCUGAUAUAUUUUUUUGUAUUUCUAAAUAACUGGGUCUGGGUCGGCUUCCACCAGAUGCACCAAGGUCUCUGCUGAACAAGACUUUCAUCCUGAAGGAUUAUUUCACCUCGCCAGCCCUGGAUUUUCUGUUCUGUAAUUUACUGGCCGCCAAAGUACAAUAAGGACUUUAUUGAUCAAUUCUCUGACAUCUUGGUUGGUAGUGCCAAAUUAUGACACUAUCUUGAUUGUCAGAAAUUUCAGUGUUCAUGUCUGCUGUCCACAGAAGCUGCUGGCUUAAGACUUUUUAAAUAUUGUUGACGCUUGUAACCUUGUGCAACAUGUUUCUGGAGCCACACAAGAGCACACACUAGACCUGGUUUUAUCGUGUUGUUUACCGAUUAUGUCUCUUCAGGUAUGCAAUGCCUUUUUUUCUGACCAUAUGCCUGUAUAUUUUGAAUUUAUUCCACCUGGUCUGGUGACUAAACCGUGUGCUCCUACAGGUGCUGGAUAGUCAAUCCUUCCACAGCGGCUCUCUUUUCUGCUGCCUUUAAUGCAAUGGUGUCUGGCACUGAGCCACUUAGUGGACCAAACACUGAACAGUUAAUCUCCUGCUUCCUUAGCACUUGAGGUAAUAUUCUUGAUGAUGUCACUCCUCUUAUAAUGAUGCCCCCAAUCCCAUAUCCAAGCUGUGGCUGAAUGACAUCACUCGUGCUGCUAGACACGAGUGCAGACAGGCAGAGCGCAAGUGGAAAAAAAAAAAGGUUCAAGAGUCUUAUGAAAUCAUGAGAGACACCUGGAAAAAAAAUAUCAGAGUUGUUAAAGAACACAAGACUACACAUUUUUCUGAUAUAAUUUCAGUCAACCUUCAUAAUUCACGCGUUCUUUUAAAACUUGAUUCCAUUUUAAAUGCCUCUCAGUCCAAUUAUCUUGAAGCUUCACCUGAGGUCUGUGAAAAAUGUCUUUGCUUUUUUAUUGAUAAAGUCAGAAAUAUCAGAGCACUCAUAUCCCCACCUUUGCAUGACCCUUAUGUUGCUUGCCCACUCUCUGCCCACUCUUCACAAAAUUGUCAAUCAGCGUAAACCUGCUGGAUGUCCCAAUGAUGUUUUCCCCCCUCGCCUCUUUAAAGAGGUUUGGGUUACCAUUGUUCCUAUAGUCCAACAAAUUAUAAACUGCAGUUUUGCUUCAGGCAGUGUUCCUCCUUAUUUUAAAAAAGCGGUAGUGGAACCUUUAAUUAAAAAAUCCUAUCUAGAUCACUCUAUUGUGUCUAAUUUCAGACCUAUAUUGAAGCUUCCUUUUAUCUCAAAAAUCCUUGAGAAAGCAGUGCUCCUUCAAAUCCAGUCUUAUUUAGAUGAUCACGGCAUUCUUGACAUUUUUCAAUCUGGUUCUAAGGCAUUUCACAGCACUGACUCUGCACUUUGAAAGGUUUUUAAUUAUCUUGUACUGACUCUGGUGACUCAACUCUUAAUGCUUUUAGAUCUAACAGCUGCAUUUGUAGAUCACACAACUCUCAUUGCUCGCCUCGAACACUGUGUCGGUUUAACAGGUACAGCUCUUAACUGGUUCAGGUCCCACUUGUCUGAGAGGUGUUUAAAAGUGAACUUUGGUGACUGUGUCUCUUCUUGUGCCCCCCUACCUGUGGAGUACCCCAAGGCUCUAUUCUUGGUCCCAUCCUCUUCUCCCUAUACCUUCUCCCACUUGGCUUGAUUUUUACCAUCUGUAUGCAGACGACACUCAGAACUACCUCCCAUGCUUACUAGAUUCUAGAUGGCCAACAGGAAAGAUGGGAUGGUGGGGAGACUGAUUUCAUUAUGAAGUGUUUACACAUUGCACUGAAGUUGCCUGUUCACACAUUUCACUGGUCACACAAUACUGACCUAUUGACAUAUUGGAGACUGGAGACAGCUUACAACCACACCUUAAUUAACACCUGUUCCAGAACAAUGCUACAAAUGCACCAGGAGCAUCCCCCACAACUGCUUUGACUUAGAAUUGAUAGGAGCAUUUUCUUAUCAAUAGAGACUAAAACAAAGGGGAGACAUGCACAAACAGAAUUUCUUUGUUAGAAAGUCCUGCAUUUUGUGAUGAGGAGAAAAUACUGAGAGUGUUGAAGGUGGUUAGAAAUCAUUAUAAGUAAAUGAAAAUGUUUAGAUACAGCAAUAUAUAUUAAUAUAUAGUUUCUAAUACAAUAAAAUAUGUAAUCCAAUAUAAGGCUAAGGCUAGAAUAUGUAAAUCAUGUGUAGUUUAAAGAUAUAUUGUGAACGUUUUAAUUGAAGUUCCUCUCAAGACACUCCUCUCAAAAACAGGGCUGUUUUGGCUACCACUUUGACCCAACGUUGUAAUAUUGCAACAAUUAUAAAACAAGCUCUAAAUAAAAUGUAGGGCAUAUUUACUGCAACAACUACAUAUGUUCAUGUUCUAGACAUUGUAACAAACACAAAAAAAUAUUCAAAGCAUUUUACUUACUUGAUUCAGAUGAAUCCAGUCCAGUAAAUCGAAGGGAUGUUGCUCGAUCAAAAAAAUUGAGGUUGUGUGACUUCUUCACCUGAGGGCGGGCCUUAUAUAAAAAUGUUGGAUCCAAUCGCAUUGUGAGAACAAACAAUAGGACCAAAUGAUCAUGUAAAUUUGGUUGAACUAAAAAAAAAAUUAUAAAUUAGAGUUUUUUUGGGGAUAACCAAAAUUGUUGUAAUCCUGCAACACUGUGUCUUACAGGGUUGAAUCUUGGUGUAAAAGUUGACAAUGAUUUUAAAUCGGAUCAACAAAUUAACUCUGUUGUUAAAUCCAGUUUUAUUAUCUGAGGAUUUUGAGUGAAUAUUUUUAAAUCAGUUUAACCUGUUGAUGAUUUUAAGUGAGUAAUUCAUGCUUUUAUUUCGACACGGUUGGACGAUUGUAAUGCUGCUUGUCUUUUAACAGGUAAAAGAAAACAUGAAAACAUAGUAUUCAUUUUAAAAUGUUAUUGUUUGUUUUUUAAACGGAUCAGCACCACAGUGCAUCUCCAACCUCUUAAAUGUUAAAACCCCCACACAUUCCUGGAGGUCUGCUGAUCAGCUUCAACUUGUCCCAAUAACUCGUUUAAAAACCUGAGGUGAUUGAGCUUUCUCAGCUGUGCCUUCCAAAUUGUGGAACGAAUUGCCACUCAAGAUUAAAACAUCCCCCACCCUCCAUAGUUUUAAAUCAUGUCUUAAAACUCCUUUUUGUUCCUUGGUUUUUAGUUCAGCAUGAGAGUUGUGGGAUCUCUGUCCUUUUAUGUCUUUUAUGGUCCUCUUAUCACUUUUAUUCCUUUUAUGCUUUUGUCUUUUUAUUUCAUUCAUUUUAUUUCAUUUUAAAUGGUUUUUACCUGCUUUUAUUUAUUUCCUCUUGAUGUUUUCUGCAGUGUUUUAUUUUACUGUGCAGUACUUUGGUAAACUUGAAUGUUUUUUUUAAAACAUGCUAUAUAAAUAAAGUGGAUUGGAUCAGAUUUGACACAGAUCCAACCAACCAACCAACCAAUUAACAGACCAGCCAAUCAGCCAACACUAUUAAAGGGAUAUUCCAGCAUAAAAUUAAGUUAGGGUCAAACACACCAUAACACCGAGUCAGACACCCGUCGAGAGAUGAAUGUUGCCAACAGCUUGCUUCUCAAGAUACACCAAUUUUAAUAACGGCCGCACGAUAGCAACACAAAGAGCCAUGCGCUUAACCAAAAAGCCACUCUAUAGCCACAAAUAAUGCUCAGAACAGCACCUAACUUCAGUACAUAUAGGGUCACUAGCCACCAAAUAUCUUUUUAGGUUUGCCUAAUUUCUUUAGCAAAGAGACUAAACACAACUAACCCACUCUCUUCCAGCAGCUGCUUGUUUGUACGGAGUCCUCUGGGUGAGUCCAUAGACUACAGCAUGGUGAUGCAGCUCAAGGAAGAACAUUUAUGAUUAUUUCUUUAUCAUUUCCUUGAAGUAAUAAUCACCAUAUUAAUCAUUUUGCACUGGAGACGCAAAAGUUAUUCUGCCUUAGCGUCUUGGUCUGAUUGCAUUUCCAUGAGGAAAUGAUCAUAAAUGUUUUGCUUUGAGCUGCGUCCCCCCACUGCAGUCAAUGGACUCACCCAGAGGUCUCCAUACAAACAAGCGGCUGCUGGAGGAGAGUGGGUGAGUUGUGUUUAGGCUCUUUGCUAAAGAAAUCAAGCAAAUCUAAAAAGAUGUUUGGUGGCUAGUAUUAUGGCUGGGACCCUGUAUGUACUGUUGAUGAAGUUAGGUGCUGUUCUGAGCAUUAUUUGUGGCUUUAGAGUGGCUUUUUGGUUGAGCUUGUGGCUCUCUGUAUUGCUAUUGUGCGGUCGUUACUAAAGUUGGUAGAACUAGAGAAGCAAGCGGUCAGCAACAUUCGUCUCUCGAUGGGAUGUCUAACUCAGUGUUACAGUGUGUUUGACCCUAACUUAAUUUUACACCAGAAUAUCCCUUUAACUAGGUCCAUCAACAGACUAAAUGAACACCCAGGCAGCCAGCUUUGUUUUAUCAGCCCAGUAAUGUGUUUCUAUUUCAUUGAUAAAGUAACUUUUAUCUCCAUCGGACAUCAAAUAAUUAUGAAGAAGAAUCAUAAUAUUGUUACUGCAUUGCUGAUCACUCUCAUGAUUAAAUGUUCAUAUCCUCAUUCAUCUAGCAUCUAGUAAUGUUGAAUUACCUCGGUUAACACACUACAGUAAUGCAGUUAGUCUGUUUUCCAUUUAGAGGGAAUGGAUUUCAAUUGUAAGAGAAUAAAUGGGAAUAGACAAGCUAUGGGCAGAGGAAGAAAGAGGAGGGAAAAAAAAGGAUUGGUCUGAGAAAGACAAAUAUUGAUGUAAUCAAAAACAGGAGGGAGAAUGAAGUGUUCGGCAGAGAGCAGGAGAGAAAAAUAAAGAUGGAUAGACACCAGCGGAUGGAAAGAGAAAAAAAUAUGGGUUUAAGAAAUUCAAGGAUUACAGAGGACUAAAAAAGAACAUAGUCUGACCAAAAAGGAAAAAAAAAAGGGGGAAAAAACCCUUUCUUCAUUCCCUGACAAUAACCCCUCGACCUUAAGUAAAUUACAAGCAUGGGUACACAGUUCUGCUUUAAAGUACACAAAUCUCCAGCUACAACUUCAAAUCCCACUCAGCUACUGAACCAAGAACUCAAGUAGCUGACCACUCCACUUUCCCACUGUUCUGUAAAAAACAGGGAUGCAUUUAUUUGGUUUGUUUUAAAUAAAUUAACCUCUGCCGAAAACUACAUGUUUCAACUGUCCAUUUGCUGGCUCUACUCUUCCCUUGUCCAAAGGUAGAAUAAGUUCUUCUUAACUGAGUCCUUACAUUUUAAGUCAUUUUACUCACUCCUGAAGAACAUGCUUCAGUGCCCUUCAGCAGGAUCAAAUCUAAAGGCCUCAUUGCAUCUUGGAAAUGCAGGAAGUGUAUUCCUCCAUUAUUCUACUGCAGGUGGUAUGGGGCCUCACUGAGGGUGCCAGGACACAUGCUGAAACCGACACAUACUAAAACACUUGCAAACAGUCUUAUAGAAAGCAGGGCCCUGACCAGAGAUAUUUGACUAUUACGGUGCACAGAGUACAAAAUAAGGGUUUUAAACAAAUCAUGCAAUGGAAUAAAUAAAGUACAUGUGCACUCCUAGAAGGGACAAAUGCAUUUGUUUGUAUUUUAAUAAGAGACUUCUAUAUUUCCACCUAUAUUAAAGGGAGGGAGAAAAGACACUCUAAUUAGUUUGCUUUAUAUUACACCCAAAACACACCUUUAAAUAACCGAGGGAUUUAAUCCAACCUCUAUGCGUCCUGUGUCUCACUUUGCACCUAGGUUGUGCACUGCUUAAAACCUGCCUGUGAGGUAUUGAUGACAUGUGUGUACUGCUCAGCCAGUCCACAAAUUAAUCCAGUUGACCAGCUGUGCUCCAAUUGCUCUUAAAGCUGACUGAGUUUUCAGCACACUCUCUGUGCCGCCUGCGAACACAAUUUACGCCAGCUGAAUCUGUAGAUAUUUCUCCCUAACUGCACUUCCAUGCCUAUCUUGGCACAUCUCUGUGCACCUUGGUUUACCAAUUUCCCAAACUGUCUGCGCACAGGACUGCGCUGCACGGUUUUACCACUGUGGGUGGUUUGCCACCCUGCACCAAGCCACCAGAGGGCAAGAUUGCACCAACAGACCGGAAGAAAAUGUCCUAUUUAUUAAAGAAGAAGAAGAAGAAGAACUUUAUUGAUCCCCAAAGGGAAAUUCAAUUGUCUGUUGUCUCACAUAACAUAUCUGUAUAAGUUAUCUAGUAUUUACAUAAGAGUUAUAAAGCCUGAUGGCUGUUGGUACAAAAGAUCUUCUGACUCUUUCUGUCCUUCAGUGAAGAGAGAGGAGCCGUCCACCACCAUUUGCCCUUUGGUCCAUCAAGGUGUUGUGAAGUGGGUGAUCCAUGUUCUUAAGAAUAGUCUCCACCUUCCUCAGUGUAGAUCACUCCACCACAUCCUCCACUGAGUCCAGCUUGAGUCCUACCACAGAGCCAGCCUUUUUCACCAGUUUGUUAAGACGUCUUGCAUCUUUGUGUUUGAUGCUUCCUCCCCAGCAGACUGCAGCAUAGAACAGAACACUUGCCACCACAGACUGAUGAAACAUCUGCAGCAUCUUACUACAGAUGUCUAUUGAUCAGAGUCUUCUCAGGCAAAAGAGGCGGCUCUGCCCCUUUCUGUAGAUGUAGUCUAUAUUCUUAGACCAAUCCAUGUAUUUUUAUGAUGUCAACACUUCAAUGUCCACUCCACAGGUGUUCACUGGCUGAAGAGGGGGUUUGGAUCUAUGGAAGUCUAUGACCAUCACCUGUGUUGAGGAGGAGGCAGUUUUUGUGACUCCAGUCACUGAAGGCUCUUAUUAGAUCUCUGUACUCAGCUUCUUGUCCAUUUCCAAUACAUGCCACAAUAGCGGUGUCAUCUAAAUAUUUCUGGAUGUGUCAGGACUCAGUACUGUAUUUGAAGUCUGACGUGUACAGUGUGAACAGGAAUGGCUCCAGCACUGUCCCUUGUGGAGCCCCUGUACUGCUCGUUAAUGUCCCAGAAACACAGUUCCCCAGCCUGACAAACUGUGGCCUUCCUGUCAGGUAAUCUGUGAUCAAGGAAACACGGGCAGGAUCCACUCCCAUCUCUGUGAGCUUGUCUUUGAGUAUGGUGGGUUGGAUGGUGUUGAAUGCACUUGAAAAGUCGAAGAACAUGAUCCUCACAUAAACCCCAGGUUCCACCAGAUGAGACAGGGCACGGUGAAGCAUGUAGAGGACAGCAUCAUCCACUCCAAUGUGUUCUUUGUAUGCAAACUGCAGGGAGUCCAGUUUGUCUUAGACCUUAGGCCUCAGAAGACGUAGAUUGUUUUUGUUUUUAGAUUAUUGUGCUUGUUGGCUGGCUUUUUUCAGUUCAGUUAUGGCUCUAUGGUAGAGUCUGGAGGUGUGGGCACUGAGCACCCUGUAGUGCCUUUCAGAGGGUAGCAGAGAAAACAGGUGAUGACUCGGGUGGCUUGGAUCUCUGAGUAUGUUGGUGGUAGUGUGAAGGCAGUGUUCUGAAAAUGUCUUCCAGUGAGAGCAGACUGAGUCUGAUGAUCUUUUCUGGUGUUUUUAUGACUCGUUGCAGACCUUUCUGGUCAGUUCACAUACCAAGCUUUCAAGCAGUAUGUCAGAAUAUUGGAUGAAGCAGAGGUAGAAAGCUCUGAGCAGCUCAGCAGACAAGGUUUUUUUUUUUUUUUUUUAGUGUCUGCAGGAAGGAUAGCCACUGUUGAGCUGUUCUUACCAGAGUGAAGUUGAAUGACCAUGUUGGUUCUGAGGAACUUGAAGUUGGUGACCCAUUCCGCUUGUUUUCUCUUCAUGGUUAGGGAGACAUGGUCUUCACAAUCAAAAAUGAUUUCCUUGGUAGUGUUGUGUCAUUCAUGAACGUCUUAUUCAAAAAAAAAAAAAAACUGCUGAGUGAACAACGUGGAUGGAAUCAGUCCAAGACCUGAUUCGUUCUCUUCCCAGUUUAGUUGAGCUCAGCCGCCAGCAUGGCAUGCCAGUCAGGAGUGGAACUGCCACCUUUGACUCUUUGGCGAAUGGCACACAGCCAGUCAGCCAGUCAGCGAGUGAGCGAGCGGGCCGAGUUUCGUGAUUUGCUCACAGUGAGUGAACGAUAUGUAUCAGUCAGACUGUGAAUUAAACAAACGACUUCUGAGCAACUUGAGGCAGGCGGAGGAGGGAAGGGCAUAGCAACGUUUACGAACUGCCAAGCACCAGGUCGUUCACUGUGAGGAUGAACGUAGGCUGAGAUAAAACAGUGAAUUCUAGUGCCUUUACAUUAAUACACAUAAACUGUGUAUUAAUGUAAAUGUAAUGUAAACUUUCCUGCAAGAAGGAUUUUAUUUCAGCCGAUGUAAAGCAAUAUGCUAUUUGAUAUCCCCGCUACAGCUGCGAUGUUUAUUUAUUUUUAAUCUCUCCACUUAUCCGCGAUACAAAAGAAUGACUUGUGCUCGUUUAGUGGGCGUGCUGCUUGCUGCUGUGUUGUUUCCGGCGAUGGGGGAACACCGAGAGGUGAGUUUUUCAGGGCAGGGGAGUGAUUCUUUCCUGGGGUUUUGGCGGAUGAAUAAUUGAUAUGUGUCACCCAGUGAACAAUGCUGUGACUUCAGCAGCAGGGGAGGGGAGGGGCUGGUUUGGUGAACAAACUCCCAAUCAGCACGGCUGUGUCACUCACUCGUGUACUGCACCGGCAGGAUGGGGCUCCGAAGCAUUGACUGAUUCAGUGAACAAAUCUUUUGAACAAAUUGUUUUAAUGAAUGGAUUCGUAAGAUUUAGUACAGUCAAAAGAACUGUUCUUCCCAUCACUAUUCUUUGGUCUUUUUGAUGUGUAGUGUACGGUUGCUGUCUGUGCACCUGUCCAUCAGCCUGUCUAUUUCCUCUCUGUAGUGUGUUUCAUAAUUGUCCAAAAUCAGUCCCACCACUGUUGUAUCAUUUGUAUGCAUGUGCUCCAUCUAAUAUCAAUUGCAUGACAAAGAGCAGGACACCUGUGUGAGUUUGUGCUAAUUGACUCUUAAUGCCCACUUACAUAAAACGGACCAGCAUCAGUGACACUCUUUGCAUUUAUAUUGUGUGUGUGUGUGAGUACCCUGGAGGCCAUAAAAAUCAAACUAGGCCAAUUAACCGGUCCAAACACAACCUGCGGCAGAGAGAGACAGAGAAUGACAAAAUGUGCUGCAGAAAUGUCUGCCACUACGUUACCCAGACAAAAGACCUUUAGUCUGUGUUUGAUAAGAGCACACAGACAUUGACACAAGCCUUUGCAUUGACACACAACCAAUGUGGCCUUUUGACUAAUAAAGUGCCUCAUUAAAAGUUUAGGCAUUUUAUCCAAACUGCGUCACUCUUUCGGAAUAAUGCAAGAUGUUACACUCAGAGUGUCCUGGAGUCUUAUCGUUAAGAGCUUACAAAAAUGUAACGACCUCUUUGAAAAAAUUUGGCAUGGAUAUCCUGAUUAGUUUUUUAUUUUGUGUGACAGUUGAAGGCUGAAUUCUCGGACACAUGGAUAAUGCUAGAAUGGACACAUUAAGCUAUAGCACAAAGUUUAAAGCACAAACAUAAAAUCAUCUUCAGCAAUUUUCUAUUUUCGCAUAACUUCUGCUGAUGAUCACUUCAUGCACAUGUGUUAAAGUGUUGCACCCUGUUGUGUAAGCGAUCGCUGUUGAUUGCUCAACUUUACUGACAGAGUCCAAUAAUCACAACGCUUGCUCCUGCAAUUACCUUUCAGAACAUUGAGUGAAGCAUUGAUUUGUGAGAGCCACUAUUGACAUUUGUUACACGUGUUGUGUUUACACUAUCACACUGUGCAGACUGUCCGUCCCUGAGGGACAAGAUACAAGUCUGCAUUGUGUUAAUCAUCAAAUAUACAGCUCUCUCUUUUUUAGUUAUUUCAUUAUUGGAGAAGCAGUGAAAAACAAUACUAUCCUACAAAAGCCAACUUUGAGUAAAAUUAGUGUUGGUUUAAGUGCAUAUCAUAAAUAAAAGAUACAUUAAAACACUCAAAUAACUUCAGAGCAAUUACAAAUGAAAUUUUGCACUACACAUGCCAUGCCCUGUACCAACUGGUUUAAAACAGAGACAAUAAUCAAAUUAAGAAAAGAAAUAUCACUGACCAUGUAAGUAGAGGAUCUUCAAAGCACAAGGUCAGAUAUGGAAAUAUGUUGAAGUUUAAUUUGUUGAUUCAUCUAUUUGAUUAGUUUUCCCCUCCUCCCACAAUACUUGGCUGCAGCAGGGCCUUCCACAAGUCUUAAUCUGGUGUAAUUGGCUGUGGUUUUAUAGAUUUGUCUUCUAGAUUUCUGCUUGUCAGGUGUUUAGACUCAAUGCAACCAGCCACAGCUGUCAAUGACUGAUGCUGCUGUAUGUGUCAUGUCAGAAUCUAUACAAAAAAAAAAAUUUAAAAAAUCAUAUUGUCACUGUCCGAAGAAAAACAUGUAUCUCCACUUAUGGUGAUCUGGACUUUUUUCAAUAUAUGCAUUGUCCAUAAUGUUCCCUAACAGCCUGUAGCUUUGGUUAUCCAAAUGGCCAAUGGAAAGAUGUUUUAUUUCAUCAUCUUUUCAACAUUUAUCUCUAUUGGGUGUCAGAAGUGUUGAUCAAAGCAUGUAUCUCCCACCUCUGACCCUGAGUUGUCAUGUCUGCAAACAGUCUUAAUGUUGUGAUUGACUUAUUACAGGCCAGGGUUACACUACACGGAUGUCCUCACAUCAACUGAUGCCAACCUAAAACAUUUUUUUUACCAUGACAGUGUUGUUUACCUGCACAGUAAAAAAUGUGUCAAUAUUUCAGUGUAAACUUAUUUUAAACUAGAUAGAGUAUUUUCAACAAUAUGAAGAGUAAACCAACUCCAAGAAUAUAGUUAAAAGUAAGUGUAAAAUCCGGCAGACCUGCAAUGAAAAGGUUAAGCCUGGUAACACACUAAGGCAGAGGCUAGUUCAUCCCAAGGACAAAACACAGCGACAUAAACAGAGUGAUGUGGUGUAUGCUGUCCAGUGCAGCGAGGAAUGCUUGGACCUGUACAUUGGGGAAACUAAACAACCGCUUCACAAGCGCAUGGCUCAACACAGGAGAGCCACUUCUUCAGGUCAGGACUCAGCUGUCCACCUUCACAUAAAGGACACAGGUCACUCUUUCGAGGACAGCAAUGUACAGGUGUUGGCUCGAGAAGACAGAUGGUUUGAAAGAGGAGUUAAAGAAGCCAUCUUUACCAGGCUGGAGAAACCUUCUCUGAACAGAGGGGGUGGACUCAGGCACAAUCUCUCUGGCACAUACAAUGCAGUUCUCAGCUCUCUCCCCAGGAAGCUCCACAAACAUUCACACCUGGAACCACAUGACCCAGGUGUGGCAUGAGUCAUGUGGGCACACACCCAGAGAUGGGUUUCUAUGACCCAUUCUUUUACAACUCCUCCCAGUCUUUGUCUGUCCCCUUCUCCAGUAAGCUAAAUAUCUGCUCCUCACACUAGCAAUUUUAGAACUGAAGAAGCUUCCUGGAUAAGAGGCGAAACGUCUUCUCAACUCGACACAGUCCAGUUGCCUGUUUUUAAGUCUCCCUUUCAUUAUAACUCUUUGGGGGUCGGACUAAGCAUGGGCAGAGCUAUGCCUGAGACAGACCCCCAUCCUGAGUCUCUCACUGCGGGGCCUCUACAGAACCUCCCAGACCAACCAGACAUGCAACACUUCUCAUCAACGUCAUUAUCCAUCACAACAUUCACGCAUCAGACAAGAUAUACACACUCCUGAAACUGUAUUAAAUAUUCAAACUUAUAUCGUUGUGGCGUGGUCAUUGCUAGUGAAUUGAUUGUUAAUUUUGACACUGAAUGGAGUAGAAUUAACACUGAAAAUGUGACACUGGCCAUAGAAUUACUUUUACUCUAAUGUUGAGUGGGACCAAAUAUUACCGAAAUUGAGUUAAAUUUAACUUUGUUGUACACUCUGUUUUUUACUGUAUGUACGUUAGAUUUCUUGAACAGAAGCUCAUCUCCAGAGAUAAAGCUGCUGUGGUCUCUCCCCCUCACAUGUUUACUAUCACUUCACUUUGUUGUGUUUCCACUAUCUUUUGAUUCCCCCGCUGGCAUUAAAGUGAAAUCAGAGCCAGAGUUUUAUUGACAACUAAUUAAGAGAGUCAAAUAAGAACUCAAAGCACAUUAUUCAGUUGUUUUUUGAGUGCAUGUGCUUCAGCACCAUAAACAGAGCUCUAUCUGUUAUCCAUGCAAACCAUCAUGGGGGGUUCACAAACACCAGUGCAUGUUACAAUGGGGGUUCAGGCUCAAAAAUGUUUAGAAUCACUGUGCUAUGUGGAAUUGUAGGAUAGCCUGCUAUCAAUAGUUUACUAACAUUUAAUUUUUUUCAAAAUUUUAAUAUUGAAUUUCCCUUUGGGGAUUAAUAAAGUUCUUCUUAUUCUUAACACAGAGGGACAUAUACAGGAUACUCGAGGCUUGUAAAAAACCGAAGCUACCAGGGGCCUCAUGUAUCAACGCUUGCGGCGCAAGAAAACCUUGCGUACGCCAAAAUCGGCGCACACGUCCAGAUUUAUCAUCGCGAAACGAGCGUCGGUUCCAGCGCUAAUCAACGCAAAGUCAGGAGGUGGUGUAGAAAUUGGCGUUGAGCUGGAUAUUUGCGUUGACUGUGAUUCGCACUUUGGCGACGCUGUGUGGCGGUGUUUGGUGACUCACUAUGUGACCAGCGUGCACCACAUCCCCGUGGCCGGGCAGCACGUCGCCCCACAUGACGAACCAGCAGCAGACGGAGGGAUGCGAGCUGAUCCCUGCCGGGCCGCCGUCCUCGCGCGGGAGAAUCUCAUCGCCACAGUGUGAAUGGGUAAGAAGUGAAUACACAGUUCAAUGAGCCAAAUUAAUUUAUUUUCUCCACCAGACGCUCGAGGAAAUUUACGAGCCGGUCCAGCCGCUCGUUGAUCCCCGCGAUCCCCCUGAUGAUUUCUUCCUGCGAUUGCAGGACCCCCUCCGCGAGGACCCUUCCACUGCGUCCGGGUGGUCCAGCGGAAGCGCCGCGGCUGGUGGACGCUCCACCGCUUGUCGGCGCGCUGGUGCUGAUGCUGGUGCUGGGGCCGGGGGCCGGGGUGGCCCGAAUGCCGCUGGUCCUGGCCGACGACUCCGAGCCGGCGGACGGGCUGCCGCGGGCCAGGGUUCCGCAAGCCGGCGACACGGCCGACACAUUAAUUUCUGUGACACAAUAAAAAUAUUAGUUCAUUUCAAUUCCUGCUUCUGUGUAUCUGUUGCGUUUACAUCUCUCUCCACGGUAUCAUAGGUAAUGUAAUCCAGUAUUUCGAGGUCAGUUAUGCACAUUACAGUUGUUUAUUGCAUAAAAAGUUAUCGGAAAAUGAAGUUAAGGGCGAAGUAUUAAUCACGUCUAAAAAUAGACUGAAUCCCGACGUUGAAAUGAAGUAUAAACUUAGACUAGACGUCUAAUAUACGUCUUUUGCUCAGUGGGAUGACAAAGCAUGUGGACAUUUGUGUGACACGCCACUUACCCUAUAAUAAUAAUCGCCACCACCCGCUGCUCAAACGGUGUGAGGGUCUCCUCCCCCGGACCCCCACCUGUCUGGCCGGUACUCCUCCGGAGGGCAGCUGUACGCCGCUUGACCUCCACCUUGAGGUCCGACCACUGUUUUUUAAUCUCCGCGGGGGUGCGUGUCUCUCGGAACCCACCGCAUUCACCCUCUCGCAAACUUUCUCCCACUCCAAGCGUUUUUGUUUUGCACUGACGCCACUGGACAGGCUGCCAAACAAAACACGCUGUCGCUCCUCCACCUCCGCCACCAGCACCUCCACCUCGCACGCCGUAAAUGUAGUUUUUCUUGUCAUUUUGUCUGCGUGCGAGGACAGGGAGACCCUAUUUAAAUAAAUCUGCAUAUUUAUAGGAGGGCGUAACGAGGACGGGCCCAGUCACUCCGACAUCUGCGCUCAAUUCCACGCUGAUUGGGAUUUAUCAAGGAAACACACGUGGAUUUCGGCGCCCGCACACAUUGAUACAUACGGAUUUUUUUCAGCGUGACGGACCUUGCGUGCGCUCGUUUCUGGUAUGAGUUCCACGCAAGUGUUGAUACAUGAGGCCCCAGAUCAGCUAGUAGGACCAUUAUAACCAGAGCCAUUACAAAAAAUACAGCACAUAUGUCCACUACCACUCUCACAAAGUACGGAAGUCCAUUUAAAAUAUCAUAUAAGUCACUAAUGAUUGUGUCAAUGUAGAUUUUCAUUUCAGGUCCUAAUUGUGUCAAAAUAAAAUAGCUGACCAAUACAGUCCCACCAUGAAAGAUCCUGAAAAAACAAUGUACCUCUGUACCUUGAAAAAAAAAUGCAUGUCAAUAAUUCAAUUUUUUUUUCCAUACUGAAGACAAUGCAACAUCUGUGUUAAGAUUACAGUAAUUUUUUUCAUUAUUGUUGUUGUUAUUUAAUCUGUGUGUGUCACCAGAUUCUCACACCUCCACAAAGACUUUUGUUGAUAUUCAAGCCGUACCUCACACAUGUAGGAGAAAUAAGGACUGUGACAGUCAGCAGGGCAUCAACGCAAAAUAAAAUAAAAUAAAAUAAACUAAGCAGAGUAACUUGGACUUCAGCAUGUUCCACCUAAAUGUAAGUCCAGUGCUCAACAACAGAUACUGGCGUGUAUCAAAUAUCAUCCACAAUCAACUCUUUCAGUUUUCAGGGGUCUUCUGGGCCUAGAGGGCCUAAUAUAGGGUUUACACCAUUUGCAAACUAUCCAACUUAUUUUUUGUCAGCUUUCUAUAUAGCAACCAAACAAAGAAAUUUAACAUGACAGUGGCACAUCCUGAACCAUCAUUUCUAUAUGUUACAAUCAGGUACAAGUAAGUGUUUUAUAACAUCAGAUUUCACUCCUUAGCCAUUUUUCAACAAUACUCUAUCAGAAGAGCAAGCUAAGUUCCAUACGUUUUACCUCUCCACUGGUGCCCAGGCACAUGCACCACCUGGUUAAAUGUUCCGACACAAAGAGUGCUCUCUAGCAGAGUGUAUUCAGACGGUUAGACAUGGAUCUCCAUCACCGCCUUCAUGCUUUCUCCCGGGUACACGACAUCUUUAGCGCCAGGCUGCCUAAUCACCAUGCAAAGGAUCACCCUGCCAAUUACAGAGACACAAAGUGACUUUCACGACCCUGUGGGCGCAGCAUGUAUUCAGCUAAGUAGAAAUUAUUCACCCUGCAUGUAUAGUAAGCCCUCAUCAGCAGCGCAACCCUUGGCAGUCACACUGCUGGACUGGGAGACUCUCACAUAGAUGAAAUCACCCACUGACCUGCAGGGAAAAUGGCACAUGUAUGCAGUCUGUGUGUCACAAGGGCAAGGGCUCGUGUGUGCACUCAUGUGUGUGCUUGUGUUUGUGUGAACAAUAAUUUGAACUAUUAUUUCUGCAUUCUAAACUUUAUCUCUGCAUUUCCUACAUGCAGAUGGCUCUUUUAUUUCACCGGUGCCUCGCAGGCUUCAAAUCACAAUGCCUUCAUGAGCACUUAGCCAUCAAAUGGUCCAGUUGGAUUAAUAUAACUGCAGUCUCAUAUUAACCCAUAUCGACACACACACACAUGCACACACACACUGUGCAGCAGACUCAAAAUUAAGCAGUCACAUAGGUGCUGAAUGCAGCAAAUCAGUGUCCAAGUGCCUGAUGUAGAUCAUAUGACCCUUUUCUUCAUUGAAUCCCACACAUGCAUUAAACAUAAGCCAUAUGUGCCUCUACACAUAAUCAUGCAAAUAAUUUGUAUAUUCCCUCAUGCUGUAUAUUCAAGCUUUCAUGGCCUUAAUGACUUACCUUCUCUGUUAAUCAUCUUGGAUAUAGAGAGGGGACACAUCCACCAAAACAAUGAUAACAGAGGUAAGUGAUCAUGGCUGGUACCGAUGAGGACUGUCUCUGGGCUCAUUAGCCAUCAGCAGGAUGGGAAACGUGAGGUGAAAUAUUUGAUUACAGAAUCAUCUGAAAACAAAUCAUUAAAUAAAUAAACAUCCAAAGAGGCAGGAAAACACUACUCUUUUUUGUUUUGUUUUGUUUUCAUUUGUGUGCUUACAUUCUCUCAAGGCAGACAACUGAUUAAUUAUGAAAAUAGGAUUUUUGGAAUUAAUUUUUACAAAUCUAGGCAAUCCUUUUGCAUGACAAAGGACACUACAGCUGCUGUUACCUGGAUAAUAAUAAUAAUAAUUAUUAUUAUUAUUAUUAUUUUCUUUUUUUUUCUUUAUGCUUGAACCCAAAGCUGAAUAAUCAGUAAGUCUCCUUCACUGAUUGAAACCCCACAGAUUUCUCACUAAUCAACUGUUGAAGAGCAGAUUCUGAUCGGUCAUAACCGAUUACAGCUGUCAUUAACUCUGGAUGUUAAGAGCAAUACCAAGGACACCCAGAUUACACACACUAUUGAAUCAAACUGUGGAGAGUUUAUGAUUCUACCUCUGCUUGUAGGUGAAAGGGAAAAGAAGUUAGUCUAUGAUAACAUCACUAAACAACUUGGAGGGAAUUCUAAUAUUACCCUCUGGGGCUGUUGCGAUAAGCCACGAUAGCUGUCUUUGAAAUAAAGUAAGUAUUUGCUAUUGAACAAUAGAGAAUAAGCAUAUCAUGCUGAUGUGAGUUUAAUGUAGUGGUCCUGUACGCCUGUUGCCACAUCAUAAAAUUGAAGAACAAUGAAUAAGCAGCAGACAGUGUUUAGGUUGAGGGGCUCUGAUGAUCUCAGCUGGAUACAAUGGAGACUGAUGACCAUGGCUGCAAGAACAUAGCUAAGGACAAGAAUAAAAGGCUGUUUCAGCUUCCAUUUUCAGUUCAGGGGGAGUGUCAUGCUUUUCCACAUCUACAACAAAACUGCAAAGUUAGAAAGUUUGUUGUCCGUCAACGUGUAUGCAAAGUUUCAAAUCACAAUAGGGCCUUCCUUCUUUAAAUCAGAUUGUUAAGCACAAUUAUUUAACCGCUCAGAGUAAUGUUUUGAAAGACAUGGACAAAUGGAUGCUCCUCCCUAUGUCGCUGCAAGCUCGUAUCUCUGCGGUUAAAAUGGAUAUUUUACCUAGGAUAAAUUUUGUGUGUUCUAUGCUUCCUUUGUCUCCCCCUGCUGGUUACUGGGCUAAACUACAAUCAGCGGUUUCUAAAUUCAUCUGGAAAGGCAAACGACCGCAGCUUAAAAUGACAACCCUACAAAGGAGAAAAGAAGGUGGCAGCCUAUCAGUCCCGACUUUAAACUCUAUUUUUGUCCUUUGUGUUAAGGCCUCUCCUCAUUUGGUUUAAUUCAGACAUAUCAUCUUCAUGGCGUGCCUUAGAAGGUGCUAAAACAGAGCCAUGGUUAUUACAUGAUGUUCUCUUUGCCAACAUUUCUGAUAAACAGUGUCAAUUGCGCUUUGGUCCUAUUAUCUCCCAUCUGAUAAACGUCUGGAGAGCGGCUGAAAACUUUUUACACAUUUCUUGUAUUUGGCAUCCACUCUCCCCAAUAUUCAACAAUAAAUCACUUCUGAUUGGUAAGAGGCCCAUUACAUCACCUCAGUGGGAACAAAGAGGGAUUCAUUACUUAAGAAAUAUCUUCAAUGAAGCUGGUUUAUUAUCUUUCACUGACCUGCAAGGUGCAUUUGGUCUACCGCGUUCAUCCUUUUUCUUUUAUCUUCAGUUAAGAUCAGCACUUACAGCUCAUGGCGUCCCAUGGCAGAGUCCCUUGGAUAACCAUCCAUUGAGAGAAUUGUAUGCUCCCCAGUCUGGCACCAAGGGCCUGCUGUCUUGCCUUUACCAUUACCUAAUAACACCCAGUUGCCUGGUCUUCCUGUAGAGACGAUCUGGAAGUGUGACUACCCAGAUCUGAGCAGCGAAUUUGAUUGGCAUGUUGUCUGGCCGAAUGUCAAAGAAACAUCACGUAAUCCAGACCAUCAACAGAUCCACUUUAAUUUCAUCUAUAGAACAUAUCUGCACCACAUGAAAAUCAUUAACAGCCCUUUAUGUACCCUCUGCUCAACUCAGGCCCAAGGCACUUACUUUCACAUGUUCUGGGACUGUCCUCCUGUCUCCCAAUUUUGAAACAACAUAGUGUCCCAUCUAUCCACCCUGGUCAAUAUCUCUAUACCGGUCAAUAUACCUGUUUUGGUUUUCAAUGAUCUGUCUACUCUCCAUGUCUCCAAAAUACUAAAGCGUGUUAUCUACGCUGGACUCACAGAAAGAAAAGAAAAUGGUGGCAACCUGCUGGAAAUCCCCUCACGACCUCUCUACCCGCACCUGCACUCUUUCCUUUCUGGAUGUCGUAAUCAUGGAACUCUCUACAGCUCGUAUAAAUGGAGCUUCGAAAAGGAAAACUUUGGACUCUUGGCUUGGGAUUGCUGAAUCCUUGAAACGAAUGUUGAUUUUGCUCCUCUACCCUGACUUAAAGAUGUCUAUCACCUGGUUGUUUGUCCGUGUGUUUGUUUGUCUUGUGUGAUGUAUGUCUACCCCUUCCUAUUCCUCCCAUGUAUGUUUUUCAUUAUUUGUUCUAUGCACAUAGGCGUGUUCCGUGCCUUGGGCAUUUUGUAUCUAUGUAAUUAUAUGUGAAUUUCUCAAAUAAAAAUUUUUGAUCACAAAAAAAAAGAUUCAGAAUCAAUUAUCCCGAUUUGAUUCAAUAUCUAUCAUUUUUGUGAUAGGUAUCAUUGGCUUCAGAGCUUUGCAUACAUCUGCAUCUGCUAUGUCUUCCUCUCUCAGGGUGCACAGUUCUUUUUCAUUUCCGCAGACUUAGGGUGCGAGCAGAGCAGCAGAUAUUGCAGGUUGCUGUUCUAAAAAGUGCUAUAACAUAUCUAGUCCGUUGUUCUAAUGAGUCACGACAUCAAAAGUGAGCUUGUGCUCCUUCGGCUGCAGUAACUGCUGCAUUUCUUUGAGGCUGUGGGUGGCUGACGUACUGCAGUGAAAGUACUUUGUGAUGUGCCUCACUCUCUCAAGCAGGCGUGCAACAUGUGGGAGUUUGAGACCGGCUUGCGAUGCAAGGUUUAUAAUGUGAGCGAAGCAGCCUACAUGCGUUAGCCCCAUUAUCUCAACUGCACGGACCAUAUUUGCCACGUCGUCGGUCACCAUAGCUGAAUCCUUGCUUGUCAGCCCCCACUUCUGUAUCGCUCUCGUCAACAUUGCUGCUAAACUGGCAGAGCGAUGGUCAGUUUCAACUUUGGUGGUUUGUAGCACAUGAAAGAAGGAGGUUCCACUCAUUAUCUAUGUUAUAGUCAUGAAAGACACCAUAGCCAUGGAUGUCCAUGUGUGGCUGGUAAUACCGACCCUUUGAGCCGACUUCAGCUCACCCUUCAUGGUUUCUUUAUCAGAUCCGUACAUUUUUGGGAUAACUGUUUCAGACAAAUGUUUUUGAGACACCAUCACGUAGAGUGGUUCUGUCAUCUUCAUCAGACGCUUAAAUCUGACAUUUUUAGCCUUUGUUUCCUUUGUUGUGGCCCCGACCUAGACGGCUCAUUUAUCAUAUUUGCGUGAUGUCUCAACGUGUGGUUGCGGAGAUUAGUGGUAUUCCCACGGUACUUUACUUCAAGUUGACAAAGCUUGCAAGUUGCUUUGCUUUUGUCAAGCACAUUAGUCCCAAGACUGUUUCUAAAUCUGAAAUGCUGCGAUAUAUCAGAGACUAUCUGGCGUUUUUAAAAGGGCUUUGUUAUCACUAGUCACCGGAGUCUCUGUCUCUGCCACCAUUUUGCAUAUUUUGCUCUGCACUCAUUCGUGCGUCAUAUGCAUGAUGAUGCGACUUGUAGGGUUAAAGUUCAAAGCAAGAUAAGAAAUGAAGAAUAUUGUUAAACAUUGAGAAAAAAAAUGAUAUUUGGAUGUACGAAUUGAUAUUGGGGAACUGGACAGAGAAUCGAUCCAGAAUUGGUGAACAGAUUUUUUAAACUCAGGCUUAAAUCACAAGGUCAUUGUAUUUUGUCACUGUCAAAAGAUGUAAACUGUUCAAAACAGGAGCCUGCUUGAAGAGACUCUCUAAAUGCCUGCAUCGGCAUAAUAGUCUCUCCCUACUAGCUGAUCUGUGCAAAGCUGAACGGCCUGGCUCCAACAGACAUUACCCCACUCUGCUGCUCUACUGGUUGAGCACAAUAGAGGGGGCAGGGCCAAGUUAUCAAGCUCUACCCUUGGCCAGCCAAUCAGAAGUAAGUGUGUUCAUGGGGAGGCUUAAAGAGACAACAGCUAAAACAAUGGUUUCAGACGGAGGCUGAAUAUUUUCUUUUUAUUUGAAAAUCAUGUGACGAUAUGAAAGAGAGAUCAGACAGGAAGCACAAAGUCUUAAAAAAAAGCAUAACCCCCCCAUUCUUAAGUAAUGUCAAUAAUGUAUGAAGUACAUGAAAUACAUGAAAUACAUCUUCAACAGAAGGUAAUAGUGUUUAUAGCAGUGGAUUAAUGUACAUUUUGAGAGUCAAGAAAAGCACUUAGAAAUAAAAUGUAAUAUUUUUGUGCGAUUUCGUGCUUCAGUUAGGCAGUAAACUAUGGAAUAGAAUAAAUUACCACCACACCGCCCAUGUUCCUCGUAAUGAAGCAACAUGUCAUCCAGUGCUGCUCAAUGCAACAUGCUGUUUAUUUGGAGCAUUUUUUAAUAAUUACUUUAAAGGUCAAACAGAGAAGAGAAGGUCUUAUAUGAACAGCUUAAUCAGGAUGAACAGGCCUCACCUGAAACUUUAACCUGCUGGGUUUGUUGUUCCCCUUAAACCAAUGAAAAACAAAUUAAAUUUUGUAAUGGGCUUCAACUGUAACUGGAUAUUUCAUUACCCAGCAUGAUGGAGGAAUUUUGCUAACCUGUUUUUAAGGCUUAUUAGUGCCACCUCUAAAUAGGGCAAUACAAUGGUUUAAACAAUGUUUGAUCAAGAGCAAUGAUGCCAGUAACAGGCUACUCCAAUAAAUCCACUUUUGACCUUGAAACAAUCAUGUAUUCACGUGUAAUACAUGUGCGCACACACAUAAAGCAGCCGCAGCAAAACGUACAUAAACAACGAUGGAGGGAGGAGAGAGAUGCGCAUUCUCAAGCUGGAAAUACAGCCACUAUUUCGACUUUGUGUCAGCUAAAGAUAACGAUAUGCAAGUGGUUAAAAUGGUUGUCAUUUAUAUGUUGAGGCUGCUGAAUGUAACUCAAAAAAUAACUUGGUAUCUUAUUUAGUUACUUUACGGAUUACUUCCAGACUUCCUUGUUGUUCCAACACUGUAUAGACCUUGUUUACAUGUAUGUAUCAAAGCUGUGCCAAAGGCUAUGCCUCAGGUUGCCCCCGUAGCCUUGUACCCUAUGAAGCGGCGCAGCCCGGCGUAAGUAUCCCCCCUCCCUAACUCAGCUCCUCCCAGCGGUGUAAGUCAUAGGGAGGGAGGAGAGGGGGUGUGGAGUGGAUUUAACACAGCCAAUAACAUGUAUUGACUGUAUUGACCAAUAACAUGAGCUCCUCUCCUCACCUUUAAAUCCACCACCGGCGAGUCGUAUUACAAUUUUCGUGAAGUAGUCAAAGUGAUCAAGAGAUGUCUGAAAACAGCAAUGCCAGACGAUGGCGACAGAAGGCAGCUCCUCAACAAGUGUCACUGUAAACACUGCAGAGGGCGUCCUUCACACUCUCAAAUAAGCACAGAUGGAUUUGGUGUGUGUAAUGCUGGACCCACUAGUACAGGGGUGGGCAAUCAUGUGCCAUGGAGGGCCGAGAGGCUGCAGGUUUUCUUUCCAACCCAAAACUCCACCAGGUGAUUUCACUGAUUAGUCCCUGCUCUCUGCUUGGAGGUAAGGUAAUCAGUGAAAUCAACUGGUGGAGUUUUGGGUUGGAAAGAAAACCUGCAGCCUCUCAGCCCUCCAUGGCACAUGAUUGCCCACCCCUGCACUAGUAAGACAAACAUCCCUUUCCACAAAUAAAGACACUCACAUAAAGUUGCACAUAUUCAAACCUCACAUGACAAAGGUGGGUUUUGCGCACAGAUCACGAAAUAAAUUCCAAAAAUGGCAUUAAAAUCGGAACCAUCUGUGUGUAAAGGACGCAUCGCACUCUGUGGCCUGGCUCUUUCUUUCAUAGAUGUUGGCAUAUAAAAUAAAUUUGGCUCACAAAACUGAAUACUAUAAACACACAAACUGAAUAUUAUAAUAUUAUAAGUAAAUAACUUAUCUGAUCACUGAAACAAAUCAUCUGUUCAGCCGCCACAGCAAGCAGCUGCAACAGGACGGGAAGAGGACACAGAGGCAUGGCCAAGUCUGACUGCGCAAGAAAUAAGAGGAAGAGGAAGAAAGAAAAGGAGGGAGACGAAUUACAUAUCUUGUUAACUUUAUCAUGUGUGUCUAUUUACUAGAUAUUUAAUUUAAUUCAAUAAGGUUUCAGCUGUGUUGAUUUGGUCAGGUUGUGUGUCCAAACGAGUGACAAACUCGCUAAUCUGAUCAGAUAUAGAUCAGAAUAUAUCUAUAUAGAUCUAAAUGUAUGUGCUGACUCAGAUUAUUAGUUGUUGAUGAUUAUUUAUUGCACUGAAAUGUGCCUGACACUGUGGAAACCUGCCGGUGAGGCAUCAGUGACAUAUGCCAAUACGGCGGUCUACCAAAAUACCACUAGACCAGCUGCGCUCCGCCUGCGCUGAAGGCUAACCAGGUUUGAAUCGGCGAGCUUUCAGCGCACUGAUUCUGUCGACAUCUCCCCCUGCCACGCCACCACGCCCAGCUUGGCAGACCUCAGCACGCCCCAGUCCACGAGAAUACCAAACUGGCUGUAUGCCGGGCUCUGCCAGAUGGAAAUACCACUGCGCAGGGUCCGCCACCCUCCGCCGCGUCCCCGGCGGACACAAUAAUAGAGCCGUAUGUCUCCGGAUGCUGAGGCUCUUCUCCUGAUCUGGCUCAUGGCCACUUCUUGAUUCAUCUUUUACUGCAGGGUGGUAUUAAAAUGAACACAAAUAAGACUGAGGAAAUCAAUCAAAUCAAUCAAAAAUAAUGCCAAGUGACUUUGAACAUCUUUCUUUAUUCAAACACAACCUCCAGUGACACUGCACACACUGUUCUGGUGCAGUGGUUGUACUUAAGAGCCAUGGUCCAUCUGAAGCAAGUAUUAGGUAGCCUAUUAAAAUAAAUUACAGCUGUGAUUGGGUAUAGAAUAGAAUGCUUUAUUCUUACAUUGACAAUACACAAAGUGUGUGCCCUGCUCCAUUAAGGUACGUAACCCUGAAAAUAAGCCAUUAUAAAGCCACACACUAUGGAGCAAAGAGCCAUUGCGCACCACCAUCUGUUUACAAUACGCAUCGAUAUCAUAUAUUAAACAUGGGACUGUGUUUUUGAUUUUGAUGUGGCACGUUUCUUAGAACCCCAUGAUUAGAAAGUCAGACUGUAAAAUGUAGUGAAAUGGGUAUUCACUAAAUCGACUGCACUUCUCAACAAUGUUAUCACUCACCAACAAGCUGUAGUGUAAGGUAGAGGAGAUCAACAUUCAAAUUUAUGAUCAUUUUGUCACAAUAUCUCAUAAAUGUAGCAAAUGCCAUUGGCCUUGGGGCAAAGAGUCGAUCAUCCUGCGCUGGGCUUCAGUUCCUGGUGGGUCGUAUACACAGGCUGCUGAAGAAGGAAAAGUAUGUUAAUUGUGUUGGAGCUAGCGCCCCUGUCUACCUCACUGCUGUGCUUGAGAACCUGACUGCUGAGAUCCUAGAACUGGCUGGAAAAGCCACCUGCAACAACGAGAAGACCCAUAUCACCUGCAGCUGACUGUCCACAAUGAUGAGGAGCUAAAUAAGCUGCUGGGCAGAGUGACCAUUGCUCAGGGAGGAGUGUUGCCCAACAUCCAGGCUGUGCUGCUGCCCAACAGGUUCUAGAAGAACGCCAAGAAGCAAAGAUCCUGAUGUAAAUGUAGUAAACCAACGGCUCUCAUAAAGCACCUUAAAGCCAAGCAUUUUGAUUCAUGUAUGACCAGUUACCUUGAGAAGUUUGAGGUCUUUUACCUGAAGCAGAGGGGUUGGCAUGGAUAUAAGAGAGUUACCGUCACCUGAAGGUAGUGUUAGGGGAUGGUGGGUGGGCCACACAAUUGUGGAUUUUGAAAUGUAUUUCUCUAAUAAGGUCUCUGAGAACAGCAGACUCAACAGUUUGAAUGUGAAGCAUGUCUCCAAUAAGACACCUUACAGUCAGUCUGUCCAGAGGGGUCAGUCUCAGUCUUUCUUGAAUGCAGAUUAUGGAGCUGGUGGUGAUUUCUAAAUCAAGCAUUGGCUUUGUUGAUGGAGUAGCUCCUCAUUGGUCUGCCAAGCUAACUUGAGCUGCUGCGAGGUCAGCAGUGUUUUCAGCACUGGGCUCUCUGGAGUAGAAGCAUGUUAUUGUUUGCUUAGGUGCUUCAGAGACUAGAAUUACUCAUCUCUCAUGUAACAUACAUAGACAACAACUUGAUGCUAUAUUUAUGUCAUUGACCUUGGGAAGAGGAGUCAAUGAUGUUCCGAUAUUUCCAAGAAAGACGGCCCCUGCUGAAAUUACUAUGAGCCAUUGUGUGUGUGUUUACUGUAAGUGAUAGAUGUUCCCUAAAGAUGCUCCUGUGCUGUGCUGAUGCUCCUGAUCUGCUCAAACUGAUGGUUCUUAUGUAACUGUUGACUACGCGCUAUAACAUUGUUCAAUAUUUUAAUGAUUGUAAUGGCUGUAUUGACUAGCAAAGUAACUAAAUAGAAUGUUAGUGACUCAAAGAGUAUUGGAGUUACUCACAGAGGUGUGCAUAAACUUUUCAUAGUCAUACUACCUGUUAUGAUAAACCACCUUAAUGUCAAUGAGGAAAACAAACUAAACACAGCACAGACCUCACUGAUUCAAAACACAAGAAUCAAUGCCAGGUGUUAGGUUUUUAAGUACAUUAAACUCUUGCAUUGAGGCAUGCAAACACACGCGCGCACACACACACACACACACACACACACACACUCAGAAUAAGUGUCAAGUCUUGUUGCAGCAGCACCUCGAUGUGCCUCGAUUAAUGACUCAACACACUGUUAACUUUCUUACACACACCCAGGAAAUUAUGGCUGUAUAUACACACACAAUACUACACAAACACACAGCAGCAAGUAUGAACUGAUGCACACAUUACAGUGCUGUACAGUAUUGUAAUAAAUGAAGAAAUGAAACACAGACAGACAUAAAAGCAGAUACACACGUACACACACACACACACACACACACAAACACAAACACACACACAAACUGUCUCUGUUUGCCAGGGUUCAUUAAUUUCACAUUAUCAGGUGAUUAGGAGUUGUGAUUAAGAAGCUUGUAGGAGAGAGACGAGACACCGGGAUGAACAUUGAUUCUUCAUUUUCUUUUAAUGUCACACAGAAUUUAAUGAGCUUUGACGAUAUUUAAAUUUAAUUGUACUAUAGAAAUAAGAAAUCCAAUACUAAACCAGUGUGAUGGACUGUUUUGUUUCAGAGCACCAAGAUUAAUGUGUUUGAACAAAUUAGGGUUUAAAAUUAAACUAAAAUUUAGAAUUUCCUUAUUUCUGUGUGAGGAAAUAUGAUGUUACUACAGCUGCUGUGUGUGAACAAGGCUUCAAGCUAUUACUCUCUGCGGGAUAUUUUCUCUUUAAUCCCUGAUAAUGAACAUAAACGGUGCUGCUGCUGCUCACAGGUUCAUUGGGCACUGGUAGUUCUUUUCAACAAAGCAAACAGUGAGGUGCUCCUUACACAAGGUUUCCUAGAUGGAUACAUAUCUCUUAACAUACGCAUUUAACUGUAAAGUUAAGAAAAAUUCAGCCUUUUCUAUAGGACAAAUGAAACAUUAGAAAAAGAUGUGUUCAUAGUGCACUGUAUCAUUUAGGUUCAAAAAUAGCCCAGCAACCCACAAGUUAGGACACCAUGUAGGCUGUAUUGGCUGAGUGAGAUCGUGUGGGUUCGUUCCACUUCAGUGGGGCAACAUAAACUGUGAUUCAUAAAAUAGCUCUAUUGAUAGUAAGUACUAUAAAUAAAUAUCUACUCAUGCCAUCAUGACGAUUUUUAGUAAUCAGUGUUUCGGUGUUGAACUAUUUCCUUUCUGCGGCUUAGUGAUACUUGCACACGCGCAAUCGAAUAUGCAGGUGGUGAAGCGAUUUUUGUCAUGUGGACCAAUAGGAGCCGAGUCUUGUUGCCAUAGUAUCAGAAAUACACAAACAUGGUGACGAGCGCAUCUAGCAGCGAGACAAGUGAAGAGGAAAAAAAGAAAAGGAAAAAAAGAAAACAGCCUUCAAAAGUGCAUAAAAAAGAACAAAACGAUGUUAUAUGCAUCUAUCAUCUGUCCAGAGUGAAGAUGUUCUCGACUUUACAAGGACACGUUGGGAAACUUACAGAACUAGUAUUACAAAGUGGCUUUCUCUACAGGGUGAGACAAAGGACCUUGCAGAAACUUAUAAACAUUGCGUUGAUAUCGACUUUGACAAUGUUCCUGAUGACGCUGGGUUUCACAUGACAUGCUACCAGCCAUUUAUUUGCAAAAGGGGUUUGAGAAACAAGAACGUGAUGCAGCCGCGGGUCAGCCAAACCCCUCAGGCAGCAUCGCCAAUGCAUCCACGUCCACAGCAUCUGAAACUGUGGUGAGACGCCUCCUCCUCUUGUUUGUUGUUUAUUGUUGUUUAUUUUGGUUGGACUUCCUGUGUUUCUUUGUUUUCAUGGUCUGGCUUGACUCUUUUCCAGAGCUCCCUCCCCUCCCCGGUCGCUGAGGCUGAGUGAGACUCCACACCUGCUCUACAUCUGCAAUCAAGGCACUUCAAGAAGCCAGCAGCCCUCAGUCUCAGCGCCUGACUAUUGUCUUCACUCCCAAGUGGUACAGACGCGUCUCCUGGCCUCCUCUUUGAUAAGUGCUUGUAAUUUUGCUCCUCGUGAUCCAUUGUAUGUCUCCUAACAUCCUUCUCCUCUGUUUUCCCCACAGUGUCUCCAGCCCACACGACAGCCAGCCAGCCUACCGGAC